UACGUAGGGUGCGAGCGUUGUCCGGAAUUAUUGGGCGUAAAGAGCUCGUAGGCGGUGUGUCACGUCGGCCGUGAAAACCUGCAGCUUAACUGUGGGCGUGCGGUCGAUACGGGCAUCACUGGAGUUCGGCAGGGGAGACUGGAAUUCCUGGUGUAGCGGUGAAAUGCGCAGAUAUCAGGAGGAACACCGGUGGCGAAGGCGGGGUCUCUGGGGCCCGAUACUGACGCUGAGGGAGCGAAA
rnacentral:rRNA from 1 species